rnacentral:rRNA from 1 species
UACGGGGGGAGCAAGCGUUGUUCGGAUUUACUGGGCGUAAAGGGCGCGUAGGCGGCCAGCACAAGUCAGUUGUGAAAUCUCCGAGCUUAACUCGGAAAGGUCAACUGAUACUGUGCGGCUAGAGUGCGGUAGGGGCAACUGGAAUUCUUGGUGUAGCGGUGAAAUGCGUAGAUAUCUGGAGGAACACCGGUGGCGAAGGCGGCAUUCUGGACCGAUAUUGACGCUGAGGAGCGAAAGCCAGGGGAGCAAACGGG